rnacentral:rRNA from 1 species
GGACCCGCACAAGUAGUGGAGCAUGUGGUUUAAUUCGAAGAUACGCGCAGAACCUUACCAACACUUGACAUGUUCGUCGCGACUCUAAGAGAUUAGAGUUUUCGGUUCGGCCGGACGAAACACAGGUGCUGCAUGGCUGUCGUCAGCUCGUGUCGUGAGAUGUUGGGUUAAGUCCCGCAACGAGCGCAACCCUCACUUUUAGUUGCCAUCAUUUAGUUGGGCACUCUGAAAGAACUGCCAGUGAUAAGCUGGAGGAAGGUGGGGAUGACGUCAAGUCCUCAUGGCCCUUACGUGUUGGGCUACACACGUGCUACAAUGGACGGUACAAAGGGUCGCGAAGCCGCGAGGUGGAG